rnacentral:rRNA from 1 species
UACGAAGGGGGCUAGCGUUGUUCGGAUUUACUGGGCGUAAAGGGCGCGUAGGCGGCGCGGUAAGUCACUUGUGAAAUCUCUGAGCUUAACUCAGAACGGCCAAGUGAUACUGCAGUGCUAGAGUGUGGAAGGGGCAAUCGGAAUUCUUGGUGUAGCGGUGAAAUGCGUAGAUAUCAAGAGGAACACCUGAGGUGAAGACGGGUUGCUGGGCCAACACUGACGCUGAUGCGCGAAAGCCAGGGGAGCAAACGGG